AACACGUGAGUAACCUGCCCUUAACUCUGGGAUAAGCCUGGGAAACUGGGUCUAAUACUGGAUAUUGACUUUUCACCGCAUGGUGGGGGGUUGAAAGCUUUUGUGGUUUUGGAUGGACUCGCGGCCUAUCAGCUUGUUGGUGAGGUAAUGGCUCACCAAGGCGACGACGGGUAGCCGGCCUGAGAGGGUGACCGGCCACACUGGGACUGAGACACGGCCCAGACUCCUACGGGAGGCAGCAGUGGGGAAUAUUGCACAAUGGGCGAAAGCCUGAUGCAGCGACGCCGCGUGAGGGAUGACGGCCUUCGGGUUGUAAACCUCUUUCAGUAGGGAACAAGGCUACACGUUGUGUGGUUGAGGGUACCUGCAGAAGAAGCGCCGGCUAACUACGUGCCAGCAGCCGCGGUAAUACGUAGGGCGCAAGCGUUAUCCGGAAUUAUUGGGCGUAAAGAGCUCGUAGGCGGUUUGUCGCGUCUGCCGUGAAAGUCCGGGGCUCAACUCCGGAUCUGCGGUGGGUACGGGCAGACUAGAGUGAUGUAGGGGAGACUGGAAUUCCUGGUGUAGCGGUGAAAUGCGCAGAUAUCAGGAGGAACACCGAUGGCGAAGGCAGGUCUCUGGGCAUUAACUGACGCUGAGGAGCGAAAGCAUGGGGAGCGAACAGGAUUAGAUACCCUGGUAGUCCAUGCCGUAAACGUUGGGCACUAGGUGUGGG
rnacentral:rRNA from 3 species